rnacentral:rRNA from 1 species
GUUUCCUACGGGGCGCAGCAGUGGGGAAUAUUGCACAAUGGGGGAAACCCUGAUGCAGCGACGCCGCGUGAGUGCAGAAGUAUUUCGGUAUGUAAAGCUCUAUCAGCAGGGAAGAAAAUGACGGUACCUGACUAAGAAGCCCCGGCUAACUACGUGCCAGCAGCCGCGGUAAUACGUAGGGGGCAAGCGUUAUCCGGAUUUACUGGAUGUAAAGGGAGCGUAGACGGCAUGGCAAGUCAGAUGUGCAAGCCCGGGGCUCAACCCCGGGACUGCAUUUGAAACUGUCAGGCU